UGGGGAAUAUUGGACAAUGGGCGCAAGCCUGAUCCAGCCAUACCGCGUGGGUGAAGAAGGCCUUCGGGUUGUAAAGCCCUUUUGUUGGGAAAGAAAUCCAGCCGGCUAAUACCUGGUUGGGAUGACGGUACCCAAAGAAUAAGCACCGGCUAACUUCGUGCCAGCAGCCGCGGUAAUACGAAGGGUGCAAGCGUUACUCGGAAUUACUGGGCGUAAAGCGUGCGUAGGUGGUUGUUUAAGUCUGUUGUGAAAGCCCUGGGCUCAACCUGGGAACUGCAGUGGAAACUGGACAACUAGAGUGUGGUAGAGGGUAGCGGAAUUCCCGGUGUAGCAGUGAAAUGCGUAGAGAUCGGGAGGAACAUCCAUGGCGAAGGCAGCUACCUGGACCAACACUGACACUGAGGCACGAAAGCGUGGGGAGCAAACAGG
rnacentral:rRNA from 1 species